GCCUAUACAUACAAUAUGUCUCUGUGGUGGAGACAUAUAGUUUUUUUUUUAACGUCCAUUGUCAACAGUUAGGCAUAUUGAAAUAAUUUCUUCCUACAAUAUCGGCACAUGCCGUUGGUUGGUUAAGAUAGAGACAUAUUUUGGAUUUGGCAAAUAAACCAUGGUACAGGUAUAGCUAAGGAUAGGCAAUGAACGUACUUGUUGAGGUUAGGGAGAGGUUAUGAUUACAGUUUUCAAAUAGCAGACACUAACUGUUGGAUUGUGACAGGACAGGAAUUCGGUGUCCACAACCCCAAUGUCCAUAUCGGUAGUUUGUGUUUGGUUACAUAAAGGGCACACUGCUUCCUGCAUUGGCACUGAAUGUUGGCACAGGACUUUAAUCCAGCAGAAUUGCCCAAUACAAACAUAAUUCUAAUUUCAAAACCUUUGACUGAUUACAAUUGGUGCCCAAUCAAUAUGAGCAUCCAUUAUCAAAAGCAAUGCCAUAGCCACCUUUUGCAACUGCAGUAUAACAGCUAACAAAUAAUUGUUGCCAUGCUGGCCAUAUAAAAAUUAAAAACUUAAUUUAGGCAAACGCUCAGUACUAACCAGCCCUCUUGUUUGUGUUGGCAUUGGUGGUGUAGUGGUUGUGAAUUUUGUAAGCAACCUAGGCUACCAAAGCAUGGCCCAAUGAUAUAUACAUACAAUAGCAAGUGUUGUAGACAUUAAAGGGGAACCACACCUAAAUUAAGAAUUCCAAUAUUUUACUUUUAUGGGCUAGGAAAGUGCAAUCAAUAUUUGUGAACAUAAGCUAUUUUCUCUUUCAAAACCAGAAACCAGAGAAGUUAGUCUUAAACUUGUGAUGUCAUUAAGUGUAAAGUCUGGAGCCGCUCCAUAGCCAAUGAAUGGGAGACUCAUUUUGUGGACCCUCAGAAUGUUUUUCUUUUCUUUUUUUUAUACCCAAAUGAGCUUUAUUCCAUUGUAGUGUUCUCAUGUCUGAAACAGAAAAUGUACCCAUACACUCAGAACAUUCCUCUGGGGGCCCUCGGUGUCAUCUAUAACAUCUUUCCCAAUGCAUUGUCUAUGGAGCAGUUCCAGACUAUACUUGAUGACAUCCCAAAAUUUGAAUUUUAGCACUCCAGUGUUUGGAUAUGGGAGGGACCUUUUCAUGUUUAAUAAUAUUUUUGGACUGUCUCAGACCAUAGGAAAAACAUGUAUGAGUUCUGAAAAUAAGCGUAGUACACCUGAAAGACAUGACCACUAUUACUUAAUCAUAAAAUAAAAGUGGAAAUUGACAAAGUGUUCCUUUAAGAUAGAGGAAACCGAACACCUUUUUAGCAUAAGGGGAAACUCUUGGAAUGCAUUUAUAACAGAGCUGUCAAAAUUAAAGCGAUAAUGAUUUAACGCAAAUUCCUUUUUAACACCACUCAUUUUUUUGACGCGCGAUUAACGCACACGAAGCGAUGCAGCAUUAAUGUUGUACUUCCAUGCAUUGUGGAUGGCCAGCAGAAAACGUAAGGUGCCCUGUGAUAACAUCCAGGGCAUCCAGCCAUCCGCCGUCUGGCUCGCCACGGUGGAGUGAAGCACAUCUCCGGUCUGAUCUACGAGGAGACCCGCAGUGUGCUGAAGGUGUUCCUGGAGAACGUGAUCCGUGAUGCUGUCACCAACACGCCAUGAGGAAGAUGGUGACCACCAUCUAUGUGGUGUACGCUCUGAAGAGGCAGGCCCGCACCCUGUACGGCUUCGGAGGUUAAACCUGAUCCUGAAUCACAAAUUGAAGGCUCUUUUAAGAGCCACACACUUACUUCCCGUUCUGAGUAACAGGCUUUUUUACUUACAUUUUUAACUAAAUUAAUUAUCAUUAAAAAGCAGCUCAAAGCCCUUUUCAAAAAAAAGAAACAAACCUCCUUGAGCAGAAAUGUACUUUCGAUGUGAAUUGAGUGACCACCGGAGUACGUCGAGUCUCAUAUACCACUUACCAUUACCAUUAAAAACUUGAAAAAUGUCCCUUUAAAGUACAUUUAAAACAGAUACAAAAUGUCCGAUUAAUUUGUGAUUAAUCGCGAGUCAACUAUAGACAAUCAUACGAUUAAUCGCAAUUAAAUAUUGUAAUCGAUUGACAGCCCUAAUUUAUAUAUGUAUCAGAAAACAUAACAGCAUAAUGUGCA